AAGGAUGACAUACUUCAGUUUGCUCGAAAGGAGAAGAUUGGACAAGCAGUACUCGUCAGCUACAUGAGGUUCAUUUACAGAUAUGUGGUACAACAAGGUCGCCAAAAUAAGUUUUUAUUUGUCAAUCCUAAUAUCGUCGCCACUUAAGGGAGUUCAUUCGACGAUCGUGUUCAGAAUCUGUUCAGACGUUGCAAUGACGUAAAAUCAAAAGAACAAGUUAUGCUUGUCCCUUGGAACCAUGGUGAACAUUGGAUGUUGCUUAUUUUGGCACCAUAUGCAUAUCAUGUUUAUUGUUGUGAUCCGGUGAAUUCAGAGCUAAAUAACCGUGAGGAGAUUGUAUCAGUGAUCGUCAGCGCUUUCAAUCUUUUUUUCUCUAUGAAUCUUCCUGAUGUCGAGAUCCCUGAUACUCUACGCAUUAAGCAA